CCUUUCUUUUAUGGUCAUAAACCUUGUGUUUAAAUUUCAUAGAUUUCUAUUUACUUAUACUAAUGUUAUGGUGCGAAAACCAAGAAAAAUGCUUAUUUGGGUCCCUUUUUGGCCCCUAAUUCCUAAACUGUUGGGACCUAAACUCCCAAAAUCAAUACCAACCUUCCUUUUGUAGUCAUUAACAUUGUGUUUAAAUUUCAUUGAUUUCUAUUUACUUAAACUAAUGUUAUUGUGCGAAAACCAAGAAAAUGCUUAUUUGGGCCCUUUUUGGCCCCUAAUUCCUAAAAUGUUGGGACCAAAACUCCCAAAAUCAAUACCAACCUUCCUUUUGUGGUCAUAAACCUUGUGUUAAAAUUUCAUAGAUUUCCAUUCACUUUUACUAAAGUUAGAGUGCGAAAACUAAAAGUAUUCGGACGACGGACGACGACGACGACGACGACGACGACGACGACGACGACGACGACGACGACGACGCAGACGCCAACGUGAUAGCAAUAUACGACGAAAAUUUUUUCAAAAUUUGCGGUCGUAUAAAAAACC
rnacentral:lncRNA from 1 species